rnacentral:rRNA from 1 species
CAUUACCGAGUUUACAACUCCCAAACCCCUGUGAACAUACCACUUGUUGCCUCGGCGGAUCAGCCCGCUCCCGGUAAAACGGGACGGCCCGCCAGAGGACCCCUAAACUCUGUUUCUAUAUGUAACUUCUGAGUAAAACCAUAAAUAAAUCAAAACUUUCAACAACGGAUCUCUUGGUUCUGGCAUCGAUGAAGAACGCAGCAAAAUGCGAUAAGUAAUGUGAAUUGCAGAAUUCAGUGAAUCAUCGAAUCUUUGAACGCACAUUGCGCCCGCCAGUAUUCUGGCGGGCAUGCCUGUUCGAGCGUCAUUUCAACCCUCAAGCACAGCUUGGUGUUGGGACUCGCGUUAAUUCGCGUUCCUCAAAUUGAUUGGCGGUCACGUCGAGCUUCCAUAGCGUAGUAGUAAAACCCUCGUUACUGGUAAUCGUCGCGGCCACGCCGUUAAACCCCAACUUCUGAAUGUUGACCUCGGAUCAGGUAGGAAUACCCGCUGCCG